AGAGUUUGAUCAUGGCUCAGAACGAACGGUAGCGGCGUGGAUUAGGCAUGCAAGUCGAACGUGAUCCUUGCUUCGGUAAGGUGAAAGUGGCGAAAGGGUGAGUAAUGCAUAGCUAACCUACCCCCGGCACUGGGAUAACCCGGAGAAAUCUGGGCUAAGACCGGAUAGGCUCGCUUGGGCGCAUGCUCGAGCGAGUAAAGGAGGCCUCUCAACGAUGCUUCUGGCUGGGGACGGAACUAUGUCCUAUCAGCUAGUUGGUGGGGUUACGGCCCACCAAGGCGAUGACGGGUAGCCGACCUGAGAGGGUGACCGGCCACACUGGGACUGAGACACUGCCCAGACUCCUACAGGAGGCUGCAGUCGAGAAUCUUCCGCAAUGGGGGCAACCCUGACGGAGCGACGCCGCGUGCGGGAUGAAGGCCUUCGGGUUGUAAACCGCUGUCACACGUUAAGAAGGAGACGGAGUUAAAAGCUCUGGCUCUUGACAAAGGCGUGGGAGGAAGCCACGGCUAACUUCGUGCCAGCAGCCGCGGUAAUUC
rnacentral:rRNA from 1 species